rnacentral:rRNA from 1 species
CUACGGGCUGCUCCAGUGAGGAAUAUUGCACAAUGGGGGGAACCCUGAUGCAGCAACGCCGCGUGGAGGAUGACGCAUUUCGGUGUGUAAACUCCUUUUAUAUGUCAAGAAAAUGACGGUAGCAUAUGAAUAAGCACCGGCUAACUCCGUGCCAGCAGCCGCGGUAAUACGGAGGGUGCAAGCGUUACUCGGAAUCACGGGGCGUAAAGGACGCGUAGGCGGGCUUGUAAGUCAGGUGUGAAAUCCUACAGCUUAACUGUAGAACUGCACUUGAAACUACGAGCCUAGAGUAUGGGAGGGGCAGAUGGAAUUAGUGGUGUAGGGGUAAAAUCCGUAGAUAUCACUAGGAAUACCUAAAGCGAAGGCGAUCUGCUGGAACAUAACUGACGCUAAGGCGUGAAAGCGUGGGGAGCAAACAGGAUUAGAUACCCUUGUAGUC